CCUACGGGAGGCAGCAGUGAGGAAUAUUGGUCAAUGGACGCAAGUCUGAACCAGCCAAGUAGCGUGCAGGAUGACGGCCCUACGGGUUGUAAACUGCUUUUGGUCGGGAAUAAACGGGGGCUCGUGAGCCCCGCAUUGUAUGUACCAUCAGAAAAAGGACCGGAUAAUUCCGUGCCAGCAGCCGCGGUAAUACGGAAGGUCCGGGCGUUAUCCGGAUUUAUUGGGUUUAACGGGGGCGUAGGCCGGCUUUUAAGUUAGAUGUGAAAUGCCGCGGCUAAACCGUGGAAUUGCAUUUGAUACUGGAGGCCUUGAGUGCACACAGGGAUGCCGGAAUUCAUGGUGUAGCGGUGAAAUGCUUAGAGAUCAUACAGAACUCCGAUCGCGAAGGCAAGUGUCCGAGGUACAACUGACGUUGAGGCUCGAAAGUGCGGGUAUCAAACAGGAUUAGAUACCCGAGUAGUC
rnacentral:rRNA from 1 species